UAAUACCGCAUACGAUCUACGGAUGAAAGUGGGGGAUGGCAAGACCUCAUGCUCGUGGAGCGGCCGAUAUCUGAUUAGCUAGUUGGUAGGGUAGAAGCCUACCAAGGCAUCGAUCAGUAGCUGGUCUGAGAGGACGACCAGCCACACUGGAACUGAGACACGGUCCAGACUCCUACGGGAGGCAGCAGUGGGGAAUUUUGGACAAUGGGCGAAAGCCUGAUCCAAAAGGGCCGCGUGAGUGAAGAAGGCCUUCGG
rnacentral:rRNA from 1 species